rnacentral:rRNA from 1 species
UACGAAGGGGGCUAGCGUUGCUCGGAUUGACUGGGCGUAAAGGGCGCGUAGGCGGUCCUUCAAGUCAGGCGUGAAAGCCCCGGGCUCAACCUGGGAACCGCGCUUGAGACUGGCGGGCUAGAGUUCGGGAGAGGAUGGUGGAAUUCCCAGUGUAGAGGUGAAAUUCGUAGAUAUUGGGAAGAACACCGAUGGCGAAGGCAGCCAUCUGGACCGACACUGACGCUGAGGCGCGAAAGCGUGGGGAGCAAACAGG